CUGCAGAAGCUGUGAGGGCGUCGAGGAAGAGACUGGUUGUUCACAGCGGCUGCGGACAUUUGCAAGUUUCUAGGUCUUUUGAUUCAAAGAAUUUACAAUGUACUUAAAUGUCUAAAUAAUUGCAGACUGGCACAAAUCCUAACCUUUGUGUACGACCAAUUUUUUAUAGUGGCAAGAUUUCGUCAAUUUAUAUUCCCAAAUGAGCCAGAUGAAUUGAUGAAAAGUUCUCAGCUGUAGUCGUAUGUCUGCUUACGGAAGUAAAGAAAUAUAAACCAAUCGAAGAAAGCGAUUAAGUUGAUAUACAUCAUAUUAUAGAGCAUUUGAUAAAACUAAUAAAGAAUGUUUUGUUGGGAAAACGUAUUGUCUUUCUUGCUGGCUCUCAAAGGGUUAUAACUUGUUUUCUUUUAAAUGGCUGUAUUAUUUUCACAAAAAAUAAAGAUAAAGCUACCUGAUAAACAUAUACACACAUUCAUAGUUCACAGACAAUUACUUCAUUUGUUUGUAUAUUGCAGCCAUGAAAGUAAAGUGUAAAGUUUUUGCAUUGUAUGGACUAGGCUGAAGUAUUCUUUCCCAAAAUAUACCUUCACAGUGUAUGCUGUUGGAUAUGAUAUGUGGUAACUUUAUAAAAUUUUCCAUUUGUGGGGACGUUUCUGCACUUGCAUUCAAUACACUAUCAUCAAUUACCUUGAACGUAUUUAUUAUACUAAAUUGGAUGUUUGGAAAUUACGUCAUCGUUCAAUAUUCCAAGUUCAUUAAUAAAUAUACCUUUAAACAG
rnacentral:sRNA from 1 species